rnacentral:lncRNA from 1 species
AACCCACCAGAAGGAAGAAACUCUGGACACAUCUGAACAUCUGAAGGAACAAACUCUGGACACACCAUCUUUAAGAACUGUAACACUCACCGCGAGGGUACACGGCUUCAUUCUUGAAGUCAGCGAGACUAAGAACCCAACAAUUCCGGACACAGCAUGAUCUUGGUUCACUACAACCUGGAUCUCCCAGAGUCAAGCAAUCCUCUCGUCUCAGUCUCCCAAGUAGCUGGAACUACAGGUAUUUCUGGUCUUUAAAGACACUUGGAAAAGAC